UGGGGAAUAUUGCACAAUGGGCGCAAGCCUGAUGCAGCCAUGCCGCGUGUAUGAAGAAGGCCUUCGGGUUGUAAAGUACUUUCAGCGGGGAGGAAGGGAGUAAAGUUAAUACCUUUGUUCAUUGACGUUACCCGCAGAAGAAGCACCGGCUAACUCCGUGCCAGCAGCCGCGGUAAUACGGAGGGUGCAAGCGUUAAUCGGAAUUACUGGGCGUAAAGCGCACGCAGGCGGUUUGUUAAGUCAGAUGUGAAAUCCCCGGGCUCAACCUGGGAACUGCAUCUGAUACUGGCAAGCUUGAGUCUCGUAGAGGGGGGUAGAAUUCCAGGUGUAGCGGUGAAAUGCGUAGAGAUCUGGAGGAAUACCGGUGGCGAAGGCGGCCCCCUGGACGAAGACUGACGCUCAGGUGCGAAAGCGUGGGGAGCAAACAGG
rnacentral:rRNA from 1 species